GAAAGAUGCUGGAGUUCUGGCCGUGUGUGUGUGUGUGUGUGUAUAUCUUUUUUUCUUCUGAAGUUCAGCAUGCCUGACUUCGUCCUUAAAACCAGCAGAGAAUGGAGCUGGUUUUCAGCUGUUUUCUUGGAGGCCGAACAAUAAACCUCUUUGUGUACAAAAUACACAGAGAGAGAUCAGGAGAGAGAGAGAGAGAGAAGUAAGGGGAGGUAAGGGAGAAAAACCGGCCCUUCGGCCUUUCAGGGUGCGGCAGGGUUGGGUUUGGAAAGGGACCCUGCAAAGGCAAUAAUUUUGAAUCCUUUACAGUGGUACCUCGGGUUAAGUACUUAAUUCGUUCCAGAGGUCAGUUCUUAACCUGAAACUGUUCUUAACCUGAAGCACCACUUUAGCUAAUGGGGCCUCCUGCUGCCGCUGCACCUCCGGAGCACGAUUUCUGUUCUCAUCCUGAAGCAAAGUUCUUAAUCCGAGGUACUAUUUCUGGGUUAGCGGAGUCUGUAACCUGAAGCGUAUGUAACCUGAAACAUAUGUAACCCAAGGUACCACUGUACUGGGAAUUGAACGAGAUCUACACCCAGUAUAGGCCUGACCAGCCACUUUGUUCUACAGAACAGAGCUGUGCAUUUAGUUCACUCCACACUUGCAAGGAAUCCGUCUUUCAGGGUGGCAGGACCUAAUCUCUGGAACUCCCUGUCCCUUGAUAUUAGCAGGCGCCUUCGCUGUUUCUGGCGUUUGUCUAAAGACUGCAUUGCUUUCAGCAGGCCUAACCAGACGUGUAAUUUGGACCGGUAAUUAUAUUUUAUAAUGUUUGUUUUUUCAGAGCUGCUGAUUUUGCUUAUCUUUGGAUCCAUUUUGGGUUAGCUUCCUUUUACUGUUAGCUAAGUUCCGUUGCCAGUUCCAGCAGCCAAGCCCUUUUGAUAUUCUUGCAGAGCCUCCAUAUCCAGGCACAGUCUAUCUUGUUCCCUAGUUCUUAGGGGCAUUUUGGCCACUGUGAGAACAGGAUGCUGGACAAUGAUGGGCCAUUGGCCUGUUCAAGAACUGGGCUUUUCUGAUGUUCUUAAUUGUCUCCGCCAGUCCUUCUGGUACGCUGACAUUCUCCCCAAGCCAUAUUGAUAAGAAUGACCAGAAACUGUUUUUAUAUGCAACAACAGCCGCGAGGCUUUUACUGGCCCAGGUGUGGAAACAGCAACAAUUGCCAACAGUAGAAGAGUGGCAGUACAAGUUUAUGGAGUAUGCAGAAAUAGCCAAACUAACGGCAAAAAUUCGACAUCAGGGUAAUGAAACAUAUCAAAAAGAAUGGGGGAAAUUUAUGUUAUAUAUAGAGAAGAUGAUGUGAAAUAGGGAAAUCAGUAGAACCGAAAUAAACCUCAUAACGGGAAAAUACAAAGAAAUUUAUUGGACAAUAAUAUCAAAAUGAAUUAAAAAUGUAUAUUAUGACCAAGGUUGAACAGUAUUUGUAAAUGAAUAUAGACAAACAACAAGAAUUGUAUAUAUAGAAAGAUUUAUUUGUUUAUGGACAUUUCAUGGACAAAAAUUAAAGAACAACUAUAUACAAAAUGGAUAAAGACAAUGCGAAAAGAUAAAGACGACACAAAAAAGAUGGAAGAAGGAAGGAGGGAAGUCAGCUCUUGAGAGCAAGAAUAAAUGUAAAAUGUAAUAUAAUAUGUGUAUGUAUUUUUGUUUAGUCGUGUCCGACUCUUCGUGAUCCCAUGGACCAGAGCACACCAGGCACUCCUGUCUUCCACUGUCUCCUGCAGUUUGGUCAAACUCAUCUUGGUAGCUUUGAGAACACUAUCCAACCAUCUCGUCCUCUGUCGUCCCCUUCUCCUUGUGCCCUCCAUCUUUCCCAACAUCAGGUUCUUUUCCAGGGAGUUUUCUCUUCUCAUGAGGUGGCCAAAGUAUUGGAGCCUCAGCUUCAGGAUCUGUCCUUCCAGUGAGCACUCAGGGCUGAUUUCCUUCAGAAUGGAGUGAUUUGAUCUUCUUGCAGUCCAUGGGACUCUCAAGAGUCUCCUCCAGCACCAUAAUUCAAAAGCAUCAAUUCUUCGGCGAUCAGCCUUCUUUAUGGUCCAGCUCUCACAUCCAUACAUCGCUAC